rnacentral:lncRNA from 1 species
UGUGGAUCCAGGCAAAUUACCAGAACAUAUGGUCUCCAUAAACAGCUCAGAUAAACGUAUCACGCCUGUCAGACACAUGUGACUUUGCUCUGGGCACCUUGUGUGCUGGAUCCUCUCUACUGCCUGAAAUCAAGCAAUGCCUGGCUGCAAGAGGAUCUCAGCAGUACAGAUGGGACUCAAGUCACCAGUUAUCUCCCUCAAAGAGCAGCCCAGGACUGAUGGACAGACAGGCUGGCCAGGAAUGGGUGGCCUUCAGCUUUGUGAUUGGAGGACAUGUGUCUAUGGAGGCCAUCUAUCUUCUGGCUUGAAAGACCGUUGUUUUCUU